GUCCCCAUCAUCUAGAGGCCCAGGAUACCGGCCUUUCACGCCGGCGACGCGGGUUCGAAUCCCGCUGGGGACG
rnacentral:tRNA from 2 species